UGAUAAGGCAACAUCUUCUAAAAUAAUAGAAAUUCCUCCUCAGCCUUUGAAUGUAAAUUUAAAAGUGAUUGCUAAUUCUGUCUUUUUUUUUUUUUUUUUUGUGUGGCCUAAAGUAAUUUGCCCUGAUCUUCAACCAUAUUUUACAAGGAGUGAAAUUGUUCAUGACUCAGGCUGACUUGACUGGGGUUCACCAGUAAUCGUGACAACUUUGCUGUAAAAUGAGCACUGAAGUUACCACACUGCUUACAUAAGGGUAAAGUAAAAAUGAAGCAAAGAGCAUGGAAAUAUGUUUGGAUACAGAUUGCUGCUUGCAAUGCAUGUGCACAGACCUGACCAUGCCAACUGAAUCUUGGACAAGAAUACAUAUUCAUUUUGCAUUACCAGUGGAUGGCUUAAUGUAUUUAGUAACUGUGGAUACUCAUUCUAAUAGACCAGAAGUUGUUGUCAAGUACUACAGCAGAACAAAUGUUUUCUAGAAUUUCCAGUAUGGUUGCACGAUUUGGAUUUCUUAAAAUAGAUUUCAGGCUAUGGUCCACGGUUUGUAUCACAGGAAUUAGAGACUUUUUGGACUACAAAUAAUACCCAGCCCUGUAAGACAGCUCCAUAUUUUGAAGGCUUCUAAGGGGCAGGUUGAAUGAUAUGUACUAACUUUGAAAUAACUAUUGGAACACCUCACAUGCUGCCACAUGGUUUAUCACCUGCACUGUUAAUGUGUGGAAGAUGCCUAAGAACUCCUCAAGUUGGG